CGGACGAGAAGCUUGCUUCUCUGAUGUUAGCGGCGGACGGGUGAGUAACACGUGGAUAACCUACCUAUAAGACUGGGAUAACUUCGGGAAACCCGGAGCUAAUACCGGAUAAUAUUUUGAACCGCAUGGUUCAAAAGUAAAAGACGGUCUUGCUGUCACUUAUAGAUGGAUCCGCGCUGCAUUAGCUAGUUGGUAAGGUAACGGCUUACCAAGGCAACGAUGCAUAGCCGACCUGAGAGGGUGAUCGGCCACACUGGAACUGAGACACGGUCCAGACUCCUACGGGAGGCAGCAGUAGGGAAUCUUCCGCAAUGGGCGAAAGCCUGACGGAGCAACGCCGCGUGAGUGAUGAAGGUCUUCGGAUCGUAAAACUCUGUUAUUAGGGAAGAACAUAUGUGUAAGUAACUGUGCACAUCUUGACGGUACCUAAUCAGAAAGCCACGGCUAACUACGUGCCAGCAGCCGCGGUAAUACGUAGGUGGCAAGCGUUAUCCGGAAUUAUUGGGCGUAAAGCGCGCGUAGGCGGUUUUUUAAGUCUGAUGUGAAAGCCCACGGCUCAACCGUGGAGGGUCAUUGGAAACUGGAAAACUUGAGUGCAGAAGAGGAAAGUGGAAUUCCAUGUGUAGCGGUGAAAUGCGCAGAGAUAUGGAGGAACACCAGUGGCGAAGGCGACUUUCUGGUCUGUAACUGACGCUGAUGUGCGAAAGCGUUGGGGAUCAAACAGGAUUAGAUACCCUGGUAGUCCACGCCGUAAACGAUGAGUGCUAAGUGUUAGGGGUUUCCGCCCCUUAGUGCUGCAGCUAACGCAUUAAGCACUCCGCCUGGGGAGUACGACCGCAAGGUUG
rnacentral:rRNA from 1 species